GAUGAACGCUAGCUACAGGCUUAACACAUGCAAGUCGAGGGGUAGCAGGGUAGCAAUACUUUGGUGGCGACCGGCGCACGGGUGAGUAACGCGUAUGCAACCUACCUAUCAGAGGGGGAUAACCCGGCGAAAGUCGGACUAAUACCGCAUAAAACAGGGGCACCGCAUGGUGCUAUUUGUUAAAAAUUUAUUGCUGAUAGAUGGGCAUGCGUUCCAUUAGGUAGUUGGAGAGGUAACGGCUCACCAAGCCAACGAUGGAUAGGGGAACUGAGAGGUUGGUCCCCCACACUGGUACUGAGACACGGACCAGACUCCUACGGGAGGCAGCAGUGAGGAAUAUUGGUCAAUGGGCGAGAGCCUGAACCAGCCAAGUCGCGUGAAGGAAGAAGGAUCUAUGGUUCGUAAACUUCUUUUGCAGGGGAAUAAAGUGCAGGACGUGUCCUGUUUUGUAUGUACCCUGAGAAUAAGGAUCGGCUAACUCCGUGCCAGCAGCCGCGGU
rnacentral:rRNA from 1 species